UUCAUCAAGGUGGUCGAGUGGAUCCUCCAUUGGCAGACCAUGGAAUUUGUUCCCCUGAAUCAUCGAGAUGAGACCACUCUUAAUCUCAAAGUUGUUGUUCUAGAUAGCAGGUGGUGCAAUUCCUUUCCGCUGACGGUGAUCAUGUGGUGCAUCUCCGGCACCAAUGUUGGAAGGGCCAUUUUGUUGAUUCUGCUUGUCAGCCAUUUCGAGUGGUUGUUGUGGUAUUAGGUUGGUUGUGUUUCUCCUCUCUUUGAGUUCGCGAGCUAUGCGGUCGAUGUUGUCGUUGGAAAGGAGUUUGCAUACAGCAGAGGUGUACCUGGAUCAGGAAGACAAAAAGAAAAACACACAGUUAGCAACCGAAUUGAAAAUUGAAAAAGAACUUUAUCUAAGCAAGUCUGAAAUCUCAAAUGUAACAAACAAACACCCAAUUGGCAACGGCGCCAAAUUGAUAAUAGGUUUUUAAGAUCAAUUAAUCCUAAAUCAUUAUCAUGUCGUUGUAGUACUAAAGGUUGUCAAUCCAAAUGGGUGUGAUGCUAACAAUCAAGAUGUGAUCAGAAGUCACUAACUCAAGCCAAGCAAUAACAGGUUUUGGUGUGUUCUAGCAAUCCUAAGUGAACAUGCAGAAAACAGAAAAUCAAGCAGAAACAAUAAAACACUCGACCAACACAGCUCGUUGCAGAGCACUGGGUGUGGUCGAGUGACAGGUCGAGUAACAAACAGAAAAUGUAACAGGGAUACUCGGCUGCACAGUCUAUUGCCAGACAACUGGGUGGUCGAGUACCAGGUCGAGUAACAGUAAAGAAUUGCAGGAACUAAGCAACAGAUGACAAGAUGCAGUUAACAAUAGUAGAGUAAACAAUAAAAUCAAUCAGAUAAAGAAUUUCCGAGGAUGGGGUAAUUGAGUAGUUUCGUUUCCUCAGUUUACAGGUGAUUGACAUGCUCAAUAAAUUAUCUCUAGACAACAAGUUCCUUAACCAAAUCUAAGUGCCACCGCAACAAAGACCCUCAAGUUAACCUAGUCCCAGACUCAAUCACCAUUGACGAGAGCUAACCUAAUAGGCAUUACGAAUCAACAAGUUAAAGCCAAAACGCUCCCCGCAACCAAUACCUUGGUACAGGGCCACGAAUCUCUGGAAUUAGUGGUUCAAACAUUUCAUCGAACACUUUUUGGGCGCGGAAAUGUUUGGGCUCAAAUUCCAGUUGAUCAGAAAGCAGUAAGCAUUAAGAACAACUAAUCCAGAAAGGAUCUAUCAAUCAAACUCAACCACCUAGCAUACUGAGAAUUUUACACUACUCUAACCCAUCCUCAGAAACCUAUUCACUACUCAUACAUCAUUGAAGAAAGCAUAAACGUUGAAUGGAAUGAAAACAUGC
rnacentral:sRNA from 1 species